AGCGAACGCUGGCGGCAGGCUUAACACAUGCAAGUCGAGCGGGCAUCCUUGUGGUGUCAGCGGCAGACGGGUGAGUAACGCGUGGGAACGUGCCCUUCGGUUCGGAAUAACUCAGGGAAACUUGAGCUAAUACCGGAUACGUGCGAGAGCAGAAAGGUUUAUCUGCCGAAGGAUCGGCCCGCGUCUGAUUAGCUAGUUGGUGAGGUUAUGGCUCACCAAGGCGACGAUCAGUAGCUGGUCUGAGAGGAUGAUCAGCCACACUGGGACUGAGACACGGCCCAGACUCCUACGGGAGGCAGCAGUGGGGAAUAUUGGACAAUGGGGGCAACCAUGAUCCAGCCAUGCCGCGUGAGUGAUGACGGCCUUAGGGUUGUAAAGCUAUUUUCUCCGGGACGAUAAUGACGGUACCGGAGGAAUAAGCCCCGGCUAACUUCGUG
rnacentral:rRNA from 1 species